CCUCAAAAAAUAUUUUCCCUUUUUUUCCCCAAUAUUCCCCAAAACAUAUUUUUCCCCAAUUAGAUUUGAUAGGACACUCUCUUAGAUCUCACUGAAAAGCCAUGAAUUUCUCUCCACCAUCACCACCGCCACAACAACAGCUAUCGACACCACUGCCGACCUAGCCGCAAACACCUUUACAGCCGCAACCACCACCACCACCGCAGCAGCAACCUUGAAUAGAAGUGCCACCAAAGUGCACCCAGCAACCAAAAUCCUCCCCAAACCCAACCACCCCUUUCGCCAUCGAAUUCAAAGACAAAGACGUCACUCCCACAACAGCUAUCUCCUUUUGCCUUACUAAACCUAAAUUUUUCUACAUUCCCAACUAUUCUCGUUGGUUUUCGUGAAAUAGCAUUCAUGAAUGUGAGGAGCGUCAUCUUGGUGAUGUGAACAAGCAGCUGAAGAUUAAGGUUUCUCUUGAACUAUCAUCGUACACAUUCUACUUGAAGAACGUACAUUACUUUGUUGCUCAGACUCUUCUAAAGUUCCCUCAAAUACAUGUCUAGUAGCUGAUAUGUAUGAGUGCGAUGACAUUAUAUAUUUGAAGAAUCCAAGUGUUUGAGACUGAAGGACAAGGACUAAGAGCUCUUCCUAAUUUUCCAUGGAUUUCUAAUACAUCAGCAGAAGCUGUAAGAAGCUCCUUUUAUGUCCACCAUUCUCAAUCAAAUCACAUAGAUUGUGAUCAAUCUGAUCCAGUUCUUCAAAUAGGGACAACUGAGACUGAAGAGAAAAUCCAAAAGCGUCUCAGAAAUGCUAGGGAAAAACUCUAACAAGGAAAAUCAUCAGGUCUGUUCGACCAUAAUUUGGUGAAUGAUGACCUAGAAAGUUGUGUGAGUUUUUGUUAUCAGAUAUUCAUAAUUCUUGGCACCCCAAAUGAGAUGAUUUGGGAAAGGUUCUCCGAGCUUCCUAGGGUGAAAUUCAACUUUGAAAAGAACCCGCAUAAUAAUUUAAGAAAGAAAUUUCAAAAUACGACAUCCUUCAUGGGGUUACCAGUCCUAUCAGUGGCUGGCCUUGGCAUGUUGAAUAAUCUUAUAACUUAUGAUCCUAAGAAGAGAAUAACUGCCGAUGCUGCUUUAAACCAUGAGUGGUUUUGUGAAGUUCCUCUCCCCAAGUCUAAAGAAUUCAUGCUUACUUUUCCUGCACAGCAUGCACAAGAUAGGUGUGUGUGAAGAGUAAUGAAUAGUCCAGAUCCUCGUGAGGAGCAGUGAAGAAAGGAACUUAAGCAAGGAGUGUUAGGAACUAGUGGAUUGUUUGGCUGAUAAGUUAAUAGUGCUCGACAACUUUUUUGAGUUUUGCUUUCUCUAUACUCAUGGAUUGACUUGGAGUUUAGAGCCAUGCAUUGCCAAGUGAUGCAGCUAGUGGAUCCAUUUCGCCCAUGGAUGCAAGGAGAUCACGUGAUGUUAAUGAUCCUAACGACCGUCCUUGAUUUCGUUGCAUUUGUCUCGGAUAUUCAAUUAUGAUGGUGUAAUUGUGUGCUUGGAGUGCAUCUUAGAAUAUUGAAGGUUUUGUGUUUAAAUUUGAUUUUGUAGUUUGAAGAUAUUAGCUAAUGUUGAAAAUUUAGAUUUUGAAGAUGUUAAUGUUGAAAAUUUAAUUUUGAAGUUUAUUGUUC